AGUGAACGCUGGCGGUAGGCCUAACACAUGCAAGUCGAACGGCAGCACAGUAAGAGCUUGCUCUUACGGGUGGCGAGUGGCGGACGGGUGAGGAAUACAUCGGAAUCUACUUUUUCGUGGGGGAUAACGUAGGGAAACUUACGCUAAUACCGCAUACGACCUACGGGUGAAAGCAGGGGAUCUUCGGACCUUGCGCGAUUGAAUGAGCCGAUGUCGGAUUAGCUAGUUGGCGGGGUAAAGGCCCACCAAGGCGACGAUCCGUAGCUGGUCUGAGAGGAUGAUCAGCCACACUGGAACUAGGACACGGUCCAGACUCCUACGGGAGGAAGAAGUGGGGAAUAUUGGAAAAUGGGCGCAAGCCUGAUCAAGACAUACCGCGUGGGUGAAGAAGGCCUUCGGGUUGUAAAGCCCUUUUGUUGGGAAAGAAAAGCAGCAGGUUAAUACCGCGCUGUUCUGACGGUACCCAAAGAAUAAGCACCGGCUAACUUCGUG
rnacentral:rRNA from 1 species